UGUCGUGAGAUGUUGGUUAAGUCCCGCAACGAGCGCAACCCUACGUUAGUUGCUAACGCGUGAAGGCGAGCACUCUAGACGAACUGCCGUUGACAAAACGGAGGAAGGUGGGGAUGACGUCAAAUCAUCAUGCCCCUUAUGUUCUGGGCUACACACGUGCUACAAUGGCCGGUACAGACGGACGCAAAGCCGCGAGGUGGAGCAAAUCCUAAAAAGCCGGUCUCAGUUCGGAUUGCAGGCUGCAAUUCGCCUGCAUGAAGUCGGAAUCGCUAGUAAUCGCAGGUUAGCAUACUGCGGUGAAUACGUUCCCGGGCCUU
rnacentral:rRNA from 1 species